GUUUAACAUGAUGGACUAUAGGACAGGACUGCUGCUUUUAACUGUCUGCUGGGCAGGUGUUGAUGGUCAGACUCUGACAGAAUCUGAACCAGUGGUUAAAAGGCCUGGAGAAUCCCACAGACUGACCUGUACAGCCUCUGGAUUCACAUUAAGCAGCUACCAUAUGGCCUGGGUCAGACAGGCUCCUGGAAAAGGACUGGUGUGGGUAGCCUGGAAUGAUAAUGGUGGAAGCACCAAAUACUACUCUCAGUCAGUUCAAGGCCGGUUUACCAUCUCCAGAGACAACAGCAGACAGCAGGUGUAUCUGCAGAUGAACAGUCUGAAGACAGAAGAUUCUGCUGUUUAUUAUUGUGCUCGAGACUCACAGUGACUGGAGUUGGUUGAGCAGCUGUACAAAAUCCUACAGUACUAGUCCUCACUUUGCUUAUCGAUCAUGAGAAAGAC